rnacentral:rRNA from 1 species
GACGAACGCUGGCGGCGUGCCUAAUACAUGCAAGUAGAACGCUGAAGCGAGGAGCUUGCUCUUCUUGGAUGAGUUGCGAACGGGUGAGUAACGCGUAGGUAACCUGCCUUGUAGCGGGGGAUAACUAUUGGAAACGAUAGCUAAUACCGCAUAACAAUGGAUGACACAUGUCAUUUAUUUGAAAGGGGCAAUUGCUCCACUACAAGAUGGACCUGCGUUGUAUUAGCUAGUAGGUGAGGUAAUGGCUCACCUAGGCGACGAUACAUAGCCGACCUGAGAGGGUGAUCGGCCACACUGGGACUGAGACACGGCCCAGACUCCUACGGGAGGCAGCAGGAGGGAAUCUUCGGCAAUGGGGGCAACCCUGACCGAGCAACGCCGCGGGAGGGAAGAAGGUUGUCGGAUCGUAAAGCUCUGUUGUAAGUCAAGAACGGGUGUGAGAGUGGAAAGUUCACACUGUGACGGUAGCUGACCAGAAAGGGACGGCUAACUACGUG